UAAAUGUUUCAAUUAUGAAAGCUGUUCAAGUUGAUGAAUCGAAGGAUACAAUUAUGUGUAGUUUGGGCGAGUCAUUGUAUACGGACAGCAAUCAAUUGGAGGACAUGAAAGUUUUUGAAUAUUUAUUAUAAUCGAAGAAAUAUACAGACAAUUUAAAAGCGAUUGUUGUGGACGAAGCCCAAUCUUGUUACUGAAUGGUGAG
rnacentral:lncRNA from 1 species